rnacentral:rRNA from 1 species
GUUCGUCACGUCGGAUGUGAAACUCUGGGGCUUAACCCCAGACCUGCAUUCGAUACGGGCGAGCUUGAGUAUGGCAGGGGAGUCUGGAAUUCCUGGUGUAGCGGUGGAAUGCGCAGAUAUCAGGAGGAACACCGAUGGCGAAGGCAGGUCUCUGGGCCAAUACUGACACUGAGGAGCGAAAGCGUGGGGAGCGAACAGGAUUAGAUACCCUGGUAGUCCACACCGUAGACGGUGGGCGCUAGUUGUGCGAACCGUUCCACGGUUUGUGCGACGCAGCUAAGCGCAUUAAGCGCCCCGCCAUGGGGAGUACGAUCGCAAGAUUAAUACUCAAAUGACUUGACGGGUCCCCGCACAUAGCAGCGGAUGCAUGCGGCUAACUUCGACGCAACGCGUAGAACCUUACCAAGGCUUGACAUAUACAGGAAUAUGGCAGAGAUGUCAUAGCCGCAAGGUCUGUAUACAGGUGGUGCACGGUUGUCGUCAGCUCGUGUCGUGAGAUGUUGGGUUAAGUCCCGCAACGAGCGCAACCCUCGUUCUGUGUUGCCAGCAUUAAGUUGGGGACUCACAGGAGACUGCCGGGGUUAACUCGGAGGAAGGUGGGGAUGACGUCAAAUCAUCAUGCCCCUUAUGUCUUGGGCUGCACGCAUGCUACAAUGGCUGGUACAAACGGCUGCGAUACCGCAAGGUGGAGCGAAUCCGAUAAAGCCAGUCUCAGUUCGGAUUGGGGUCUGCAACUCGACCCCAUGAAGUCGGAGUUGCUAGUAAUCGU